rnacentral:rRNA from 1 species
AUUGAACGCUGGCGGCAGGCCUAACACAUGCAAGUCGAGCGGAUGACGGGAGCUUGCUCCUUGAUUCAGCGGCGGACGGGUGAGUAAUGCCUAGGAAUCUGCCUGGUAGUGGGGGGCAACGUUUCGAAAGGAACGCUAAUACCGCAUACGUCCUACGGGAGAAAGCAGGGGACCUUCGGGCCUUGCGCUAUCAGAUGAGCCUAGGUCGGAUUAGCUAGUUGGUGGGGUAAUGGCUCACCAAGGCGACGAUCCGUAACUGGUCUGAGAGGAUGAUCAGUCACACUGGAACUGAGACACGGUCCAGACUCCUACGGGAGGCAGCAGUGGGGAAUAUUGGACAAUGGGCGAAAGCCUGAUCCAGCCAUGCCGCGUGUGUGAAGAAGGUCUUCGGAUUGUAAAGCACUUUAAGUUGGGAGGAAGGGCAGUAAGCUAAUACCUUGCUGUUUUGACGUUACCGACAGAAUAAGCACCGGCUAACUCUGUGCCAGCAGCCGCGGUAAUACAGAGGGUGCAAGCGUUAAUCGGAAUUACUGGGCGUAAAGCGCGCGUAGGUGGUUUGUUAAGUUGGAUGUGAAAGCCCCGGGCUCAACCUGGGAACUGCAUCCAAAGCUGGCAAGCUAGAGUACGGUAGAGGGUGGUGGAAUUUCCUGUGUAGCGGUGAAAUGCGUAGAUAUAGGAAGGAACACCAGUGGCGAAGGCGACCACCUGGACUGAUACUGACACUGAGGUGCGAAAGCGUGGGGAGCAAA